GGUUCGAUGGUGUAGUUGGUUAUCACGUCUGUCUCACAAGGUGUACACAGGAGGUCUCCGGUUCGAGCCCGGAUCGAACCA
rnacentral:tRNA from 1 species